CUACGGGGGGCAGCAGUAGGGAAUUUUCGGCAAUGGGCGCAAGCCUGACCGAGCAACGCCGCGUGAGUGAUUAAGGCCUUCGGGUUGUAAAGCUCUGUUGUAAAGGAAGAACGAUCAGUAUAGGAAAUGAUACUGAUAUGACGGUACUUUACCAGAAAGCCACGGCUAACUACGUGCCAGCAGCCGCGGUAAUACGUAGGUGGCAAGCGUUAUCCGGAAUUAUUGGGCGUAAAGGGAGCGUAGGCGGUUUAUUAAGUCUAUGGUGAAAGUGCGGGGCUCAACCCCGUAUGGCCAUAGAAACUGAUAGACUAGAGUGCAGAAGAGGGGAGUGGAAUUCCAUGUGUAGCGGUAAAAUGCGUAGAUAUAUGGAGGAACACCGGUGGCGAAGGCGGCUACCUGGUCUGUUACUGACGCUGAGGCUCGAAAGCGUGGGGAGCAAAUAGGAUUAGAUACCCGCGUAGUC
rnacentral:rRNA from 1 species